UACGAAGGGGGCUAGCGUUGCUCGGAAUCACUGGGCGUAAAGCGCACGUAGGCGGCUUUUUAAGUCAGAGGUGAAAUCCUGGAGCUCAACUCCAGAACUGCCUUCGAUACUGGAAGACUUGAGUCCGGGAGAGGUGAGUGGAACUGCGAGUGUAGAGGUGAAAUUCGUAGAUAUUCGCAAGAACACCAGUGGCGAAGGCGGCUCACUGGCCCGGUACUGACGCUGAGGUGCGAAAGCGUGGGGAGCAAACAGG
rnacentral:rRNA from 1 species